rnacentral:ncRNA from 1 species
CUUAUCACGAGCGGUGGAGGAAUCAGGUCCUUUGAAGCCCGGCAACCUAUUUUAAAAUAAGGUGCUAAAUCCUGCGGAUAUUCCGAAAGAUGAGG